rnacentral:rRNA from 1 species
GAUGAACGCUGGCGGCGUGCUUAACACAUGCAAGUCGAACGGAAAGGCCCUGCUUUUGUGGGGUGCUCGAGUGGCGAACGGGUGAGUAACACGUGAGUAACCUGCCCUUGACUUUGGGAUAACUUCAGGAAACUGGGGCUAAUACCGGAUAGGACCUCCUGCUGCAGUGUGGGGGUUGGAAAGUUUCGGCGGUGGGGGAUGGACUGGCGGCUUAUCAGCUUGUUGGUGGGGUAGUGGCUUACCAAGGCUUUGACGGGUAGCCGGCCUGGGAGGUGGACCGGCCACUUUGGGACUGAGAUACGGCCCAGACUCCUACGGGAGGCAGCGGUGGGGAAUAUUGCACAAGGGGCGGAAGCCGGAGGAAGCAACGCGGGGGGGGGGAGGCCGGCCUUCGGGUGGUAAACCGCUUCCGCCUGGGACGAAGCGUGAGUGACGGUAAUGGGUAAAGAAGCACCGGCUAACUACGUG